rnacentral:rRNA from 1 species
UGGGGGAAUAUUGGGACAAUGGGCGCAAGCCUGAUCCAGCAAUGCCGCGUGUGUGAAGAAGGCCCUCGGGUUGUAAAGCACUUUUAUCAGGAGCGAAAUCUGCAAGGGCUAAUACCCUUGUAGUCUGACGGUACCUGAGGAAUAAGCACCGGCUAACUCCGUGCCAGCAGCCGCGGUAAUACGGAGGGUGCAAGCGUUAAUCGGAAUUACUGGGCGUAAAGCGUGUGUAGGCGGUUUGUUAAGUCUGUUGUGAAAGCCCCGGGCUCAACCUGGGAAUGGCAAUGGAUACUGGCAAGCUAGAGUGUGAUAGAGGAUGGUGGAAUUCCCGGUGUAGCGGUGAAAUGCGUAGAGAUCGGGAGGAACAUCAGUGGCGAAGGCGGCCAUCUGGAUCAACACUGACGCUGAGACACGAAAGCGCGGGGAGCAAACAGGAUUAGAUACCCUGGUAGUCCACGCCCUAAACGAUGCGAACUGGAUGUUGGUCUCAACUCGGAGAUCAGUGUCGAAGCUAACGCGUUAAGUUCGCCGCCUGGGGGAGUACGGUCGCAAGACUGAAACUUAAAUGAAUUGAC